UAGGAGGCAAAAAAAUAUUCCCCCCUCCGUAGAAACCAAUUUUCAUUUGUUUUGAUUUCUCGUUUGAAAAACUGAUUUCUUCUCAUGAGCCCUCCUACCUACACGAACUUUAGUUACACCCUGUAAUCAGUAACUGUGGCUCCUCCAUCCCCAGUUACAAAUAACCGGUUACAUUGAGAGGGAAAUUUGAAAAGAAAGUAGACAAAGUAAGGAAUAUAUUUUCAAAUAUAUUAUUAGAUGGCGCUGAUGCAAGAUGAAAUGACAUUUUUUAUUUUUGAAUUUGCCGAUAAUAAAUUCGUAACCAGCAAGUAACCGAUUAUAUUUUGGUUAUACUAACCAAACGUAUUUCACCUUAAAGCACCACAACCAAGAACCUCUUUUAAUGCUCCUAUUAACUUCUUAUCUCUCCUCUCCUGUCUAUAGCUCUCAUUGUCAUGAUACCACAUCUUUUCUUUACCAAGCUUAUUUUUGCGAAAACAGCUAUCUCUUUGAAACCAGAUUUGAUCCCAUUCUCUAAUCCAUUCAUAUUUGGAACUAAAACAGGAUAACUCACAUCAUGUUUCUUUUCAAUUUGACUGUACACUUGUUUAUUAUUAGCCAUUUCGGGUACCCAUCUAGAUGUUUCGUUCACUCUUUUUUUCAUUCUGUAGUCCAUCUCGAGGUGCAACCUAAACAACUUUGACUGGAGAGUGGUAAAGCCAGUUUCAUGGACGAUAUUUGCCAGAGAUCAACAAAUGAUAAACCAGAUCUAAUUGUUUGAAAACCGGUAAGAUAAGUUUGGGCGACCCUUUGUAUUUGAAAAGUGAUUUGGAAAAACUUCAUGGUGUGAUGUUGAUUCAAACAAUCUUGAUCAACAACAGUCAACAAUAGGAGGUAAAUGUGAAUACAAUUCAUUGGAAAAGCUCAGCGGAAUGACCUCUCAGCGCCAAGUUCCUAUUUUCAACUUUUUUUCUUGAUGUUGAUGUUGAUUGACCUUGUUGUUUUAUCGACUAGCAUAAAUCAAAAGUUAAUUUGAAGAGCCCACUUAUCUUCCCAUCAAAUUGCAUUAUAAUCAUCUUCAUUCUCUCUAUUGUUUUCAACCGAUGGACCGAUUAUGAAAUUGAAAAAGGCAGAACUUGUUUCAACUUCAAUAUAGAUUAGCAAUAUCAUACUCCAAUUUUUUGAGGAACUCAUUUUGCUUGAGUUGAUUUGAUUUUUUACCCUCUUUCACCUUGCAAUUUUAGAUGAACAAAUGCAUCAAAUAUUCAUAGUCUUUCUGUUACUGACUGUUGUGAGAUUUAAAUCUCAUUUACAAACUGAUUUCAAGACUUUUAUUGAUCAAACAAUCAUUGACGCAUAUCGUUGUGCGGUACUAUUAAGAAAGUACGGCAUAAUAAGCGCCUUACAUAUAAUGUUAUCGAGUCAAUGUCAAAAAAGGAAGUCAAAGAAGUUUGCUCAUACAAUCAAACGAAAAAUUUGAACCUAAAUUCUUCCUCGUCUCUAGAUUCAACUCCAAGAUCUUCCCAAACAUCAUCGAUCUUUCGGGGAUCUCUUGCCAUUGUUUUGGUGGCAAGCUUCAAAUGUUUCAAAGCUGUUUCCAAUCCUUUCUGCUGGAAUGCAAGAUUGAACCAAGGAUUUGAUAAAGACUUCCAGUGUGAACCGAUGGUAACGUAACCAUGUCUAGGGAUGUAAGAAACAUUGUUAGCUACAAAUCGACCAUUGGCGAAGAAACCAGUUGAUUUGUCAGUUGAAUACCAUUCAUUGUAAGAGGCUUGAGAGUAGACACCACAACAUUUUCAACUGUUUACAAGCAAUGUCGACUAAACACAUCUCUAUGAUGGCUUUCUUGAUUUUGAGUGACAAUGUUUCGUCCAUUUUAUCAACUUCGACCCAUUCAAAAUCUCUGGUCACAGUAUGAUGUCCAGUGAAUCAGUCGAUUCUCUGAUCUUUAUGUAAAUAAGUACCAUUUAUCAUUGUAUUACAUUGUGCAACAUAUUUUGAGAGGUUGACUUUCAACUUUUCAACAUGAUGAUAGUGUUGUAAAGAUUGGUAAUUCUUCUGAAAUUCCCAAAAUCAUGUUUACAAAGUAAUCAACUUAGUGAAAUAAAUCGCAGUUUACAUAUCA